rnacentral:rRNA from 1 species
UGGGGAAUAUUGGGCAAUGGGGGAAACCCUGACCCAGCAACGCCGCGUGAAGGAAGAAGGCCUUCGGUUGUAACUUCUUUUAUCCAGGGAGCGAAGGACGUGACGGUACCUGGAGAAAAAGCAACGGCUAACUACGUGCCAGCAGCCGCGGUAAUACGUAGGUUGCGAGCGUUGUCCGGAUUUACUGGGUGUAAAGGGCGUGUAGGCGGAGAAGCAAGUUGGGAGUGAAAUCUAUGGGCUCAACCCAUAAACUGCUCUCAAAACUGUUUCCCUUGAGUAUCGGAGAGGCAAGCGGAAUUCCUAGUGUAGCGGUGAAAUGCGUAGAUAUUAGGAGGAACACCAGUGGCGAAGGCGGCUUGCUGGACGACAACUGACGCUGAGGCGCGAAAGCGUGGGGAGCAAACAGGAUUAGAUACCC